GGAAUCUUCCGCAAUGGGCGAAAACCUGAUGGAGCAACGCCGCGUGUGUGAUGAAGGGUUUCGGCUCGUAAAACACUGUUGUAAGAGAAGAAUGACAUUGAGAGUAACUGUUCAAUGUGUGACGGUAUCUUACCAGAAAGGAACGGCUAAAUACGUGCCAG
rnacentral:rRNA from 1 species